AGUUCACUGAAAGAGUCAAACAAAACAUUUAAGAGUAUAAAAGCGUAUGAAGAUGUUAAGAAAGUGAGAAUUACAACCUUGAGGCCUUUGAGUUAUGACACAGAAGCCAUUGUUUUCUGGAAGCUUAGUUGCAUUGAAAAAAAAGUUAGAAAUAUUAGCUUGACUCAUUUGUUUCAAAUUUGUUUGUUCUUUUCUCCUGUAGAAAGCAGUACAGGUAUUACAGUCAACUACAACAUCCCAAGCAGGAAGGCUACCACAGUACAGGGGUGUUAUACAAUUAACUGAUGCAUAAUUUGCCAAUCCUCCAGGUUGUCCUGGCAUCUCCAGGAAUUAAAAGAUUAAAUCUUUAAUUAAAGAUACAUCAUCCAACAAAACCUCCAGGAAUACGGCCAACCAAAACUGGCAACCCUAGCAUAACUGUACACUGUAGUUACCGGCUAUUACUGCACCUAUCAAGAAUCUGCAACACCACCGAUGUGUUCUGAGAUGUCAGACAAUGGUUCCUGUGGAAAUAAUUACCAGCUAGUUGGUAUGCUUGCAGGGAGCAAAUGGAAUUGGAUGUACCACACCUACUACUAAACUGCCGAAGUUCAGCUGUACAAAGACUCAAGAAGGAACACCAAGUAAUUAGAAGGAAAGGAACAGUCCUUGGAGAACACCCUGUUAGAAUUUAGGAAUAUUGUGUGUAAAUAUUUUUUAUUAGGAUUGCCCAUAUGCUUAGCAUUUUAGUCAUGGCCAAGACAGACCCCUCCCAUGAGGCUGGUGACAACAGAAACCAUUACACAACAAAUUAGCACUAUGUUCUAAAGGAGCAAAAAACAUCUAACAAGGCACUUCAUUUCUUUCAAGGAAACUUAAUGCAACAGCGAAUAGCUCUUUAUGUAACCACUAAUGAAAACAAAGGAUUAUAAGACAAGAGACUCAGAGAGCAAACCUAGAUCAGCCACAUUUGGGUUCACUGGGCAAUGCAUCUUUGUCUUUCUCCUCAAGACUGCUGCAUGUGUGUAACUUCAUUUAUAGACUCAAGGCCAGAAGGGACUAUUAUGAUCAUCUCGUCUGCCCAGCAUAGCACAGGCCAGAGAAUUUCACCCCAUAAUUCCUCCAUCUAACUCAAUCGAUAGUUGAACUAGAGCGUCUUUUAGACAGCUAUCCAGGCUCAUUUGAAAGAAUGAAUUCUGCUAUGACCUUUAAUGAAGAGAUCCCUACCAUAUACAAUGACACAAAAGGGAGGAAAAGCCAUUCUUAAAGCGUAAACAGCUCCAAAUGCCUGCUGGUGUGCCACAUCAUUCCCUUGGUUAAACGGCAGUCCAGUGCAUAAAGGGCAGGAAGAGGGGCCCGUUCCUGUGGAUGCAGGAGGCUGAAAUAUUGUGGAUCCCAUAUCAGACAUGUAUAGUGGUUCAGGUAAUAUCUUUUAUUGGCUCAACUUCUGUUGGUUAAAGAGAACUUGUUCUAGAAUACGGUCUUGUUUGGCCACAAGUUACUGGGCUAAAUGGGCAAUCACAAGGUGAAAUUCUAUGACUGAUACUAUAAAGGAGGUCAAACCAGAUACUAGUAAAGGGUUUUUUUGUUUGUUUUUUUUUUAAAAAAAGGCCAGAAAAUUAAGUAUAAAUGGUAUGUCAACAUUCAUCUUUCAAUAUUAGCUGUACAUAACUCUUCUGCUCUUCACCAUGCAAGAGGACAAGGUGGCCCCUAGUUCCCAGAUUCUAGCCUGUGGGCCAUCGGUAAUCUAUCAAGCAUUUGCUGAUGUUCUAAUCUACAGAGACCUGGUGGUUCUUGUUUCCGGCCCCUAAACCACAUGAAGAAGCUACUAUCACAUUAAAUGCUUUCCAAAUACUACUUUUCUAUGUAGGUAAGUAGUAAUAUGAGUUAUUCUAUUGCCAGCAGAAAAAGAGGCAGUCCAGAAGACACUGCAUUAAGAUGUGGCCUUUGAGAACUCUUGAUAUAGCUAGGAUCUCUGUUAAAACAUAGUGGCAUCACAUUAGAGAAGCCUGGGGAAAAAUUUCUUCCCUUGCUUGUUACACUGGAUGUAACAAAGGCUGUAGAAUUGAUAAAAUGCCACCAAUUUUUAAUUACCGUACAUUUUCCACAAAAUCACUGAUGUAAAAUCCACUUACCCCAGCAGACUCCCCAGCGUGCAGAACUCAACUCACAGAGAGCGCGAGGAGGGAGAAGGUUUUUAACAGGAUAAUCCAUGCAUUUCUUGUUGCUGCUGCACCAGAGACACUGAAAGAGAAGCAAAGCAAGUGAGAUGCAAGUGCAAGAUUGUUUGAGUGCAAUGAUACUACUAGGUAACAAAGGCUAUUCAAGCUAAGAGCAUUGUAACGAGCCUGGCAAGUUUACAAACUACAAUGUAUGACAUGACUUACUAUAUUCCGAUAUUCAAGGGCACAGGACUGAUGAGAGUAAUCAGUAUUUGACUACAGAUAGUUAAGGGGAUUGCUGAGAACUGCUAUGGUUAAGUGUUAGGUUACAUGGUGCUGUGGAUAUAUAGAACAGCAGAUUCCUGAGGCAUGAUGAAAGCUCAAUAUCUGCACUUUUGAAAAAAGUUUGCAAGUCACGAAUGUCAUGCUUUGGUGCUGAUGUUUGUUGGUAUGAAAGUGUGCCUCAACUACAGCUGUCCAGAAACAAGCUUUGUAAAUAGCUAUGGACUUAUAAUAGUUACCGUAUAUUUUUGUAAGAUAAAAAGGCUCAAAUAUGCUUCCUAUAUGAAGGUUGUUGAAUAAAUGAGAGGAAACUUUGUAAACAAAUGGAAAUGUCGCUCUAAGUCAGGACUUACUUAGUUUGGUAAAUCAGCUUUUAAUAUGUAACAUUUAUACUUUUCACCCCAAAGCAAAUCCAAGUGAAAGCGAGCCACUGAUUUUCAUACCAAACAUAAGGGUGUUACAAAGCAUUUUCCCUGGAGCCAAGGGAGAAUGUUAUCAUUAGAGCCCUUAAAAUGCAAAUAAUCACAGUCAACAGUAGACAGGUAAUGCAAAGGCUUUCUGGACUACAAGACUUUAAAUAGUUUCAUGAGCAAAGCAUUCAAUAACUGUUACAGAACCAGGGAAAUGUUAAAGGUUAGUAUCCACCCUAGCUAAUUUUUCUUUGACCGGAUUCAGUAUCUUCACAUACAGUACUCCCCCUCAAUGAUCACAGGAUUAGGGGGAAUUAGUUUUUGAAGUUUCUCUGCAGGUCCUGGCACAGCUCUUUGAAGCAGAAGAUCAUGGGAGUUGCUGUUGGAGAUGCUGGAGCAAAGUGGAAGAUUUACAAGUUUUUUUAAAAGGACAAAAAGAGGCCUUAGGGGUUGCUCACACUACCUCAUAAAAUGGGAGCCAUAUGCUCAGAAUUACAUCAGCUGCAGUAGCUCCAAACAAGAAAGGAAUCAGGACUACGGGACAGAGCAAUCAUGGUACAGCGAAUA